AGCAGCCGCGGUAAUUCCAGCUCCAAUAGCGUAUAUUAAAGUUGCUGCAGUUAAAAAGCUCGUAGUUGAAUUUCGGGACUAAUAUGUCGGUCGUGCCUCGGUACGUACUGGUUUAUUGGUUUCUCCUUUCUGAAGAACCAUGAUGUCAUUUAUUUGGUGUCGUGGGGAAUCAGGACUGUUACUUUGAAAAAUUAGAGUGUUUAAAGCAGGCUCACGCUUGAAUACAUUAGCAUGGAAUAAUGAAAUAGGACGUUUGAUUCUAUUUUGUUGGUUUCUAGGAUCGACGUAAUGAUUAAUAGGGAUAGUUGUGGGCAUUAGUAUUCAAUUGUCAGAGGUGAAAUUCUUGGAUUUAUUGAAGACUAACUACUGCGAAAGCAUUUGCCAAGGAUGUUUUCAUUAAUCAAGAACGAAAGUUAGGGGAUCGAAGACGAUCAGAUACCGUCGUAGUCUUAACCAUAAACUAUGCCGACUAGGGAU
rnacentral:rRNA from 1 species